rnacentral:rRNA from 1 species
GCAAGUCGAACGGGUACUUCGGUACCAGUGGCAAACGGGUGCGUAACACGUAGGCAAUCUGCCCAAGAGAUGGGGACAACGGAUGGAAACGUCCGCUAAUACCCGAUGACGUCGAGAGACGAAAGGCGCAAGCCGCUCUUGGAGGAGCCUGCGGCCUAUCAGGUAGUUGGUGGGGUAACGGCCUACCAAGCCGACGACGGGUAGGGGGUGUGAGAGCAUGACCCCCCACACGGGGACUGAGACACGGCCCCGACUCCUACGGGAGGCAGCAGUGAGGGAUAUUGGGCAAUGGGCGCAAGCCUGACCCAGCGACGCCGCGUGGAGGACGAAGGGCUUCGGCUCGUAAACUCCUUUUCCCGUGGACGAGACAAGGACGGUACACGGGGAAUAAGUCUCGGCUAACUACGUGCAAGCAGCCGCGGUAAAACGUAGGAGGCAAGCGUUAUCCGGAAUCACUGGGCGUAAAGGGCGUCUAGGCGGCACGAUAAGCGAGGUGUGAAAGCUCCUGGCUCAACUAGGAGAGUGCGCUUCGAACUGUCGAGCUACGAGGGCAGGCGAAGGGGGUGGAAUUCCCGGUGGAGUGGUGGAAUGCGUAGAGAUCGGGAGGAACACCCGUGGCGAAAGCGGCCCCCUAGCCUGAACCUGACGCUGAAGCGCGAAAGCGUGGGGAGCAAACGGGAUUAGAUACCCCGGUAGUCCACGCCGUAAACGAUGGUGACUAGGUGUGGCUGGCUUAAGGGCCGGUCGUGCCGCAGCCAACGCGAUAAGUCACCCGCC